AAUGCUUCAAUCCAUAUUUCCAUAAAGCUGUUCACCAGGGCAACAGUAAGAUAAAAAAUUUGUUGCAAUUCCAGCUACUCGAUUCCUUUGUUGCAUUGAAGUUAUUCGCAUUGAAAUAAG